rnacentral:rRNA from 1 species
UACAGGGGGGGCAAGCGUUGCUCGGAAUCACUGGGCGUAAAGGGCGCGUAGGCGGGAUGGCAAGUCAGUCGUGAAAUCUCUCGGCUCAACCGAGAAACGUCGGCUGAUACUGCCGUUCUUGAGGGAUGCAGAGGAGACUGGAAUUCCCGGUGUAGCGGUGAAAUGUGUAGAGAUCGGGAGGAACACCGGUGGCGAAGGCGGGUCUCUGGGCAUCUCCUGACGCUGAGGCGCGAAAGCGUGGGGAGCAAACGGG